rnacentral:rRNA from 1 species
GACGAAGGGGGCUAGCGUUGCUCGGAAUUACUGGGCGUAAAGCGCGUGUAGGCGGUUGCCCAAGUCGGGUGUGAAAGCCUUGAGCUCAACUCAAGAAAUGCACUCGGUACUGGGUGACUAGAGGACCGGAGAGGAUAGUGGAAUUCCCAGUGUAGUGGUGAAAUACGUAGAGAUUGGGAAGAACACCAGUGGCGAAGGCGGCUAUCUGGACGGUUUCUGACGCUAAGACGCGAAAGCGUGGGGAGCAAACAGG